AUUGAACGCUAGCGGGAUGCUUUACACAUGCAAGUCGAACGAGUGGCGGACGGGUGAGUAAUAUAUCGGCACGUGCCCAGUAGCGGGGGAUAACUACUCGAACGAGUGGCUCAUACCGCAUACUAUUGGAGCGGCCGAUAUUGGAUUAGCUAGUUGGUGGGGUAAAGGCUCACCAAGGCAACGAUCCGUAGCAGGCUUGAGAGGACGACCGGCCACACUGGGACUGAGACACGGCCCAGACUCCUACGGGAGGCAGCAGUGGGGAAUUUUGGACAAUGGAGGAAAGCCUGAUCCAGCCAUCCCGCGUGUAUGAGAAGGCCUUCGGGUUGUAAAGUACUUUUGGCAGAGAAGCGGUAUCUACAGAAUAAGCACCGGCUAACUACGUGCCAGCAGCCGCGGUAAUAC
rnacentral:rRNA from 1 species